GACGAACGCUGGCGGCGCGCCUAACACAUGCAAGUCGAGCGAGAACCAGGGCUUCGGCCCUGGGGACAGCGGCGAACGGGUGAGUAACACGUGGAUAACCUGCCCUCGGCACCGGAAUAGCCCGGGGAAACCCGGAUUAAUGCCGGAUGGCCCCACAUCCCCGCGGGGAACGUGGGAAAAGGUAGCUUCGGCCUCCGGCCGAGGAUGGGUCCGCGGUGGAUUAGCUUGUUGGCGGGGUAACAGCCCACCAAGGCAACGAUCCAUAGCUGGUCUGAGAGGACGAUCAGCAACACUGGGACUGAGACACGGCCCAGACUCCUACGGGAGGCAGCAGUGGGGAAUCUUGCGCAAUGGGCGAAAGCCUGAUGCAGCGACGCCGCGUGCGGGAAGAAGGCCUUCGGGUUGUAAACCGCUUUCAGGAGGGACGAAGCCACUCGGGUGAACAGCCCAGAGGGUGACGGUACCUCCAGAAGAAGCCCCGGCUAACUACGUGCCAGCAGCCGCAGUAA
rnacentral:rRNA from 1 species